rnacentral:rRNA from 1 species
UACGUAGGGGGCGAGCGUUGUCCGGAAUUAUUGGGCGUAAAGAGCGCGCAGGCGGCUGGUCAAGUCCGAUGUGAAAUCUCCCGGCUUAACUGGGAAACUGCAUCGGAAACUGAUCGGCUUGAAGGUGGGAGAGGGUAGUGGAAUUCCCGGUGUAGUGGUGAAAUGCGUAGAUAUCGGGAGGAACACCAGUGGCGAAGGCGACUACCUGGCCCAUUCUUGACGCUGAGGCGCGAAAGCUAGGGGAGCGAACGGG